ensembl:lncRNA
GAAGAAAGGAUGGAAGACCUUUAAAGAGCACAAACAGGCUCUUCCCUAACUAAGUCUUCUCUUUGCUUUAGCCGUCUUCUGAGAGAAAAGCCAGAAGGAGAUGAUGGCUACCAAGCCAGAGAAGAGGAUGGCCUCCUCUAUCUUCAUCACCCUAACUCCCCCUCGACGGAACACAACAAAGGUGGAUGAAGUGAGGCAGGCAGCCUGUGCAAGUCGGUCCAGUCGGGCCCGGGAACCUCCCUUGUCCAAGAAGCCCCCCAGUGAUUCUCCAGUGGGCAGACAGGACCCAAGGGUGCCCAGCAUUCCCCCAGCACUGCCCCCACCUGUUCUUCUACCUAAUGGAGGGUCCUCCCUUCCUCCUCCAGCCCCAGAUCCUGAGGACAACUUCCCUGACCUGGAUCUCCUUCCACCUCCACCACCCCCUCCAGCCUUCCUGCUCCCACCAGAUGAGGACUGCCUGGCCCAGGACGGGAAUUUGCUCUCAGAAAAUCUCCAGCAGCUGCAUGUGGCCCCUCCCCCUCCCCCACCACAGGUACUGGUUCCUGUAACCCCCUAAAAAAGUAUAGCAGCCUCUCUGCCUCCUUGUAACCUUAUUGGAGAAUGGGUAAUGCUGGGCAGAGGCCUAAAAAAAGAAGAGAAAUCCUUGGCCUUGGAGACUAUUAGAGUCAUUCCUUAAACUCUAGGAAGCACCAACUGCAUCAUAAAUGGAAGAAGAUAUAUUUUUAAAGACCCCAAAGAAAAGGAGCCCAUGUUCUUCCUCUUCAUCCUUUCCAAUAUCUAAUAAUAAGAGUCACAACAGUCAUAGUGAUAAGAGUAGUAAUAAGAAUCAUAAUGAUGACAACAAACAGUGCACAUUGCCUGAGCAUUUUCUGCUAACCAAGCAGUAUCUAGCCUUAUUUUAUUUCAUACUUAAAAUAACCCAGUAAAAGUGGUGCUGGUACAAAUAUUUUUAUCCCAAUUUAACAGAUGAAGAAACUGAGGCCAAGACAUGAAAUUACUUGCCCACAUAAUUCAUAAAUGUAUAUUGUGACUCAAAGCCACUUAACUCUUUGUUCAGACCUCUUUCCAUUAUACAAUAACCCUGGCUAUUUGGAAGACAUUUCUUCUAUCUCCCCUGAAUUUCUUAUGCAGAAGAGGAACUCUGUUUCUUCAUCUGCAAAUGAGAUGGUUGUAAAAAAUAUAUAUAUUUCUAAGAGACUUUCCCAGUUCUCAUAUUCUCCAUUCUUAGGUCCCUCCCAGCUCUGACAUUCUCUGUUCUAAGCUCUCUCCCAGCUCUGACAUUCUCUGUUCUAAGGUCUCUCCCAGCUCUGCCAUUCUCUGUUCUAAGCUCUCUCCCAGCUCUCACAUUCUCUGUUCUAAGGUCUCUCCCAGCUCUGACAGUCUCUGUUUUAAGGUCUCUCCAAGCUCAUACAUUCUAUGUUCUAAGCUCUCUCCCAGCUCUGACAUCCUGUGUUCUAAGGCCUCUCCCAGCUCAACUAUUCUGUGUUCUUAGGGCUCUGACAUUCCCUGUUCUAAAGGGCCUCUAAGCUCUGACAUUCUGCGUUCUCAGGA